UACGAAGGGGGCUAGCGUUGCUCGGAAUCACUGGGCGUAAAGGGUGCGUAGGCGGGUCUUUAAGUCAGGGGUGAAAUCCUGGAGCUCAACUCCAGAACUGCCUUUGAUACUGAGGGUCUUGAGUUCGGGAGAGGUGAGUGGAACUGCGAGUGUAGAGGUGAAAUUCGUAGAUAUUCGCAAGAACACCAGUGGCGAAGGCGGCUCACUGGCCCGAUACUGACGCUGAGGUGCGAAAGCGUGGGGAGCAAACAGGG
rnacentral:rRNA from 1 species